GGACAGGGCACCCAGAGCGGAGAUCACACACAGGCCACUCCUUUCAGGGAAAGCAGCUCAUCCUGCUGCACAUGGCUCAGACACAGAAUCCCAGGAAUUGAGAGAAACUGAGGGAGUGGAUCUGUCCUCUAGAACUUCCUCACUUCUGAGCGUGUGGCCACCAGGGUUCGGAGAGAGCGCGGGUGAGCAGCAGCCCCAGGGUCUGAAAAGAAGGGCAGCCCCUGUGGAAGGUUCUAGAAGUGGUGAUGGAUGAUUCCCGCGGGAAUGUUCGAGAACUGGGUCUCGCUGUAUAGCUCAGGCUGUCCUCGACCUCACUGUGCAGGCCAGGCUUGUAUGGAAUUCAGGGCGAUCUUCCUGCCUCAGUCUCCCUAGUGCUGGAAUUAUAGGCCUUCAUUUCCAUAAGCUACUCAUUUACAAGAACUGUACUUCUAACUUCACAUUCGUGCUUGAAUCUGAACAGCCUUUGGAAAGUGCAAGACUUGAACUACCCUUGAAGUCUACAGGUUUCUAUUUCACUCAUUGCUAUAAUUGCGAGUAUUGCAAUGACGGAGGACUUGACGAUGUAGAAAUAGACUUGAGACAUCCUGUAAUUGAAGAGAAGCUACAAGAUGGGACUGUAUGUUUUAUGGUGCCAGAGCUUUGCCUCUGUAAUAGCCAGCAAUACACUGCAUGAGAACCACUUUUUGUGGGAGUCUGUUGGUCUUCCCCUUUUCCUCAGUUCAGUUUUGUUUCCUCUUGUCCCCUUGAGACAUCACUGAG
ensembl:lncRNA